GCACUUGUAGCUCAGUGGAUAGAGCAUCUGUUUCCAAGCCGAAGGUCGUAGGUUAGAUCCUCCCUGGCGCG
ncrna:Nicotiana tabacum cultivar TN90 Ntab-TN90_scaffold3150, whole genome shotgun sequence